rnacentral:rRNA from 1 species
UGCCAGCAGCCGCGGUAAUACGUAGGUGGCAAGCGUUGUCCGGAAUUAUUGGGCGUAAAGGGCACGCAGGCGGCUCCUUAAGUCUGAUGUGAAAUCUUACGGCUUAACCGUAAGCGGUCAUUGGAAACUGAGGAGCUUGAGUACAGAAGAGGAGAGUGGAAUUCCACGUGUAGCGGUGAAAUGCGUAGAUAUGUGGAGGAACACCAGUGGCGAAGGCGACUCUCUGGUCUGUAACUGACGCUGAGGUGCGAAAGCGUGGGUAGCAAACAGGAUUAGAUA